rnacentral:rRNA from 1 species
AGAAUCAACGCUGGCGGCGUGCCUAACACAUGCAAGUCGAACGAGAAAGUGGAGCAAUCCAUGAGUAAAGUGGCGCACGGGUGAGUAACACGUGACUAACCUACCCUUGAGUGGGGGAUAACCUAGGGAAACCUGGGCUAAUACCGCAUAAUACCUUCGGGUCAAAGGAGCAAUUCGCUUAAGCGAGGGGGUCGCGGCCGAUUAGUUAGUUGGCGGGGUAAUGGCCCACCAAGACGAUGAUCGGUAUCCGGCCUGAGAGGGCGCACGGACACACUGGAACUGAAACACGGUCCAGACUCCUACGGGAGGCAGCAGUGGGGAAUUUGCGCAAUGGGGGAAACCCUGACGCAGCAACGCCGCGUGGAGGAUGAAGUCCCUUGGGACGUAAACUCCUUUCGAUCGGGACGAUUAUGACGGUACCGGAAGAAGAAGCCCGGACUAACUUCGCGCCAGCAGCCGC